rnacentral:rRNA from 1 species
GUGCCAGCAGCCGCGGUAAGACGAACCGUGCAAACGUUAUUCGGAAUCACUGGGCUUAAAGGGCGCGUAGGCGGGCAACCAAGUCCGGGGUGAAAUCCUCCAGCUCAACUGGAGAAGUGCCUCGGAUACUGGCUGCCUCGAGGAGGGUAGGGGCAUCUGGAACUAGCGGUGGAGCGGUGAAAUGCGUUGAUAUCGCUAGGAACUCCGGUGGCGAAGGCGAGGUGCUGGACCCUUUCUGACGCUGAGGCGCGAAAGCCAGGGGAGCGAACGGGAUUAGAUACCCCGGUAGUCC